ACUGAGAGCCGACCUGUGCCAGGACGCUGGGGGCCGCCGAACCCUGCUGUGCCCCUGCCGGCAGCCCUGGGCCACCCCGGGACCUGCAGAGCCGGUGGGGCCCGAGCCGCAGCAACCACCCCUCGGGCGCUCAGGGACGACACGUCGGGGCCUGAGAGGCUCGGUGUAAGGGGCACCGACUGAGGUCUGCAGAGAGCCGAGGCCGCAGCCCGCCCGAGUCCAGGGCAGGAGCCCGGGGAGGACAGGGGGCCCCCGCCUUGCCAGCCGGCGCGCUUCCCUCCUCCCACCCUAGCCUGGAACUCAUCUCAACCCAACGUGCUGUUAGCUGUGGGGACCCCUGGCAACGGGGUCAGGACGUGAUGUGACGUGGGCCGACCUCUGCGUCAGAAUUGAGAGAGAGCAGAAGGCCUCGGUGCGGGGGGUCGCACUGGGGUCCCCUGGAAGGAGGCCAGGCCCGGGCCGGCGGCAGCCAGGGGAGCAGGGGCUCCAAGCCCUGGCAGGGGUCAAGGUGAGAAAUGAGCAGAUGCCUUCCUCAGCAGGAUCCCUAGGAACCGGGCCGUCCCGGACGUUUGUGUGGACCAUAUGGAGGGGUGGGAGGGUAGACCGACUGAUUUCUCUGGACUUUGGCUGGUGGAGGGUCGUGGCAGGGGCCCUUGCAAGGAAGGUGCAAGGAGGGUGGCCUCAGGGCCAGCCGAGGAUUCUUCUCUGGCCUUCUGUGUGCUCCAGGUGAAGAGCGAGAGGCGCCCCAUUCGAGCCCAGAUGGAAGCCAGAGCUGGCCCAUCCUUUGUGCAUGAUCCAGGACCAGUCCUGGAGACUUUGACAGGUUUGGCCACAGCUGGGCCCCUGGCUUCCUCCUGUUGAGUGUUGGGGACCUGUGAUCUUGCAGGGACAGUUUGGCCUGAGAAGGACAGGGCCGGGGCAGUCUUUUGAGAGGCUAAGGAGGGGACUCCCCACCUUGACUGCUGGAGACCUCCCAGAGAAUGUGCCAGCCCUCCUGUCCACACUGGGGCCCAGGGCUGGGCUGGCGGUCUGCACCCAGAGGCGCCUUCUCCUUCCUUCCUGCAGGGACUUCAAGAAGUGACAGCAGAGGAAUCGAUCUGAGGCAGGGGUCCCUCAGGUCACAGACCAGAGUUGACGCGGGCCAGUGCCACUUGUCCAGCAUGGUCUUUGGCCCCCCAGAGGAGGGAUCUGCUACUCCCACGGCCCUGAGUGUUCCCCAGUGCUCUCAGAGUGCUGACCCCUCCCCCAGUGGUGGGGCUUCUGGUGGCCUUGAUCAGCCUGAGCUUCCUGGCCCCAGCAUCCAGCGGAGGGAGGAGAUGAGGAGUCCU
rnacentral:lncRNA from 12 species